rnacentral:rRNA from 1 species
GGAUCUAGGGACGCGCAUUUCAAGCGCCCGUGUCGUCGGGUCAAACCGGCGACUGCGUUGGCGUUGCGGGCUCGGUCCGUCGGUGCCCCAUUCAAAGGGCUAUCGGCGUGUCAACCGGCCCGCCCGUCCCCUCCUUCUGGAUUCCCGUUCCUGCUAUUGAGUUAGUGGGGACGUCACAGGGGGUCCAUCGUCGUGCGGCGUCAAAACCGUGCGGCGGUGGGUCCCUGGGGCCCAGAUCGUUUACCGUGAAAAAAUUAGAGUGUUCAAAGCAGGCAGAUCCAAUUUUCUGCCACCGAAUACAUUAGCAUGGGAUAAUGGAAUAGGACCCUGUCCUCCUAUUUUCAGUUGGUUUUGGCAGCGCGAGGACUAGGGUAAUGAUUAAUAGGGAUAGUUGGGGGCAUUAAUAUUUAAUUGUCAGAGGUGAAAUUCUUGGAUUUAUGAAAGAUUAACUUCUGCGAAAGCAUCUGCCAAGGAUGUUUUCAUUAAUCAAGAACGAAAGUUAGGGGAUCGAAGACGAUCAGAUACCGUCGUAGUCUUAACCAUAAACGAUGCCGACCAGCGAUUAGGAGACGUUGAAUACAAAACACCACCAUCGGCGCGGUCGUCCUUGGCGUCGGUCCUUCGGGGCCGGCGCGAGGGCGGCUUAGCCCGGUGGCACCGGUGAAUGACUCCCCUAGCAGCUUGUGAGAAAUCAUAAGUCUUUGGGUUCCGGGGGGAGUAUGGUCGCAAGGCUGAAACUUAAAGGAAUUGACG